rnacentral:rRNA from 1 species
UCGUAACAAGGUUGAUUCUUCGCACCUGCGGAAGCCUUUGCAGCUGGAAACAGUAGCUGAGCGACUAUAAACAAUAUCGGCCUUAUGCAAGUCAGCGUCUGCUGGCAACACUUUCGAAUUGCGGGAAACUCCUAAAAGCCCUUCACACCAAACCGUCGUGGGAAACUACUCGGUGCCCGUGGGAAACUACGGGGUAUGGUAACAGCGGAAGGGAUGAGCCAGCACUGUAAGGUGCGAGUGAAAUGGACAAUCCGCAGCGAAGCCCCUGCCGUUCCUAGUAGCUGAGUCGAGAUAUUGUCAACGCUCUGCCUUUGACUCUUCUUUGUAGCAACUAAACAUGGGGAACGUUCACAGACUAAGUGGAAGUGGGUGGGGUCUUCAUGUGAAUACCCUGCUUAAGAUAUAGUCGGGCCUCAGUGGAAACACUGGGGAUCAUAACCGUUCCGUAGGUGAACCUGCGGAAGGAUCAUUACCCUAUACCAUCGGCGGGUCGGUGUUGGGGAUUGCGGCACCCAUCAGGGAAGCCCUCUCUCCUCCCCGCCCUUGUCUGAAUAUACCCAUGAUUUUUGCGUACCNAUUGUUUCCUCGGCAGGCUUGCUUGCCAGUAGGACAUUUUUCAACCUUUUGUAAUUGCAGUCAGCGUCAGAAAAACUUAAUAGUUACNACUUUCAACAACGGAUCUCUUGGUUCUGGCAUCGAUGAAGAACGCAGCGAAAUGCGAUAAGUAGUGUGAAUUGCAGAAUUCAGUGAAUCAUCGAAUCUUUGAACGCACAUUGCGCCCCUUGGUAUUCCAUGGGGCAUGCCUGUUCGAGCGUCAUUUGUAUCUUCAAGCUUUGCUUGGUGUUGGGUGUUUGUCNUGCUCUAUGCGNGGACUCGCCUUAAAUCAAUUGGCAGCCGGUAAUCUGGCGUUAAGAGCGCAGCACAUUGUGCGCUUCCUCGCUGUGUAUUGCGGCGUCCAUUAAGCCUAUAUUUCUUUGCUCUUGACCUCGGAUCAGGUAGGGAUACCCGCUGAACUUA